rnacentral:rRNA from 1 species
AGCUCCAAUAGCGUAUAUUAAAGUUGUUGCGGUUAAAAAGCUCGUAGUUGGAUUUCAGUUCUGGACUGACGGUUCACCGCCCGGUGCAUACUGUCACGCUCCGAACAGCCACAACAGCCCGCUGGCUCGCACGGGGUGCUCUUCAUCGAGUGUCCCGCGUGGCCGGCAGAGUUUACUUUGAAAAAAUUAGAGUGCUCAAAGCAGGCUACACUGACGGCCUGAAUGCCUAUGCAUGGAAUAAUGGAAUAGGACCUCGGUUCUAUUUUGUCGGUUUUCUGAACCCGAGGUAAUGACUAAUAGGAACAGGCGGGGGCAUUCGUAUUGCGACGCUAGAGGUGAAAUUCUUGGACCGUCGCAAGACGAACUACUGCGAAAGCAUUUGCCAAGGAUGUUUUCA